AGCUUCCUGAAUCCGUGCUGAGAUUUCGUCAGACACCAACCCAUUAAGGUCAUCAGACUUCUAAGAUAAGUGAAGUU
rnacentral:pre_miRNA from 1 species